rnacentral:lncRNA from 1 species
GCUAUAGUAUUUUUUUAAUUUUUUUUUAUAAGGUUUAGCCGACGAAUUAUGCCAUAAUUCGUCGGCUAUAGUUAUUUUUUAAUUUUUUUGAUAAGGUUUAGCCGACGAAAUAUACUAUAUUUCGUCGGCUAUAGUUAUUUUUUUAAAUUUUUUAUAAGGUUUAGCCGACGAAAUAUACUAAAGUUCGUCGGCUAUAGUUAUUUUUUAAUUAUUUAUUACACACUUUAGCCGACGAAUAUCUUAAUUGUUUCGUCGGCUAAAGUCUGGGAAAAAAACCGACGACAUGUUUUUCGUCGGCUAAUUGUGGGACUAUAGCCGACGAAAAAAAAAAUUUCGUCGGCUAAAGUCAUCGCCAACGACCUUUUCCCGACGAAAUCUUAGCCGACGAUGGCUCGUCGGCCAAGAUCUUAGCUGACGAAUUAAGUUAACAGGCCGACAAAACUUUUUCGUCGGCUAAAGUGCUUGUCCUGGUAGUGGGUGGACCCCGUAGGAUUUACUUUAGGUUUCAGGAUGAAAUUCAGGGUGAAAUUCAGGGUGGGUCCUGACAGUUGUCUUCUCAUGUGUUUGAGAUAGUAAAAAGAGUAAGAAAAUACUUUCCCCUUGAACUCCAAACAUAUCGUAUUCCCUUCUAUUUUUUUCUCACAACACAUUAUUUUAUUGUAUUAAUUACAUACUUUUUAACAACUUUCCAGAUGACUUGCGUAGGUUAACAUCGCCGCCUGUUGAACCCCUUGGUUUCACUUGCCAAAAGCACUUUGUAAAGCUCAGAGGUAGGGAUGGAGCCAAGAUUUUUAAAACAAACUAGGCUACAUAUUUAUAUAAGAAAUUUAGGAAAAAUAAUUAUUAAAAAAAAAAAUUUAGAAGAAGAAUUAAUUUUUUUUUUUUUGUUACAAAAAAGUUUAGGUGAGAGCCUACACCACCAUCGCCAGAGCAAAACUGCAGCCUCAACCCUGAAGGACUGACAGUGGACACGUACCUGUCAACCAGCCUCUAGGAAUAAAUUAAAUUUGUACAAUCCAAAUCAAUUCAUUAGAACAAUCAUAAAAAGAAAAUAAAUAAAUAAAAAAUAGUUUAAUCAAAAAAUAUUAAAAUUUGAAUAGUUUAAGAUAGAUUGGAUAAAAGAUUGAGCAAAUCUCAUAAAUUGAGUUAAGAGACAACUUUACAAAUUUACUAUUCUAUAUGAAACUUUUUCACCGUUUGAUUGCAUGGGUUGUACAAACAUAAGCAGAUCAUGUUUAAGAUUAUUAAGCCACUUAAUUAGAACACAUAAAUGUUUCAUGGGCUAUAACACAGAAAGGAUUGCACUAUCCUCUGUCCUUGCUCAGAGGUGUCUUCAUCACCAGCUUGAUAUGCAUAAGAAAGUACAAUAAUUUUUCUAUCUAACUAAUACUAUAAAUCAGAGUAUGUAUACCAAAAUAUAAAUUGUCUAAACAAGGUAAAAUUGUCGAAUUAAGCUAGUUUUGAUGAAGUAUAAAGUGUAUAGACAAAGAGAUAGCAAGAGAAUCAUCCUCUUAUUCAUUGAUAGGAGCCCUUUACAUAGGGAAUUACACAAUACCAAUAUGGUAAGGAUAUGAAUACAUAGAUCUAGUCUAACUACAUAUCCUAUUGGCAUAAGGCCAAGGCACACAUAAAGAAUAUCUAGAAAGAUACAGAAUAUCUUAGAACACUCCCCCUUGUGCCGCGCGCUGAUAUGCCGAUGGUGCUGAUCUGUUGCCUCGUCAAAAACCUAGUCAAGUCACAAAAACCCUGUGGGAGAAAAACUGAACCUAGAUCGUAGGAGAAAAAGAGUACAACGCACCCUUCACAUUUGAUAGUGACAUGUAUGUAUGUGCUAGACUCCCCCUGAAGUUCGCACCUCUCCCUGAUCUUUACAUCCAUCAUAGGGCUCUUCCUGAUUCUUACUAAUCACGGAAAUUUCAACAACUUAGCAUGUCAAUGCUCUUUAACAUGUCUUCAAAUGUGGCAUUAGGCAAUGAUUAACUAAAUCAUGCCGUAUUGUCCUCAAAUGAUCUUUUACACUUAGAUCUUGAGGACAAGGACGCUUGUGAACUCAAAACAUAAGUUCGUGCAGGAAAUUAGAUUUCCGCGCAGCAUGACCUUCAGUUACUAGAACAGUCGUAACUUCCUCUAGGAAAUACAUAUGAACGAACCGUAAAUGGUUUUGGAAACUAGACUCAUUUAGC